rnacentral:rRNA from 1 species
AUUGAACGCUGGCGGCAGGCCUAACACAUGCAAGUCGAACGAGUGGCGGACGGGUGAGUAAUGUCUGGGAAACUGCCUGAUGGAGGGGGAUAACUACCGGAAACGGUAGCUAAUACCGCAUACCAUCGGAUGUGCCCAGAUGGGAUUAGCUAGUAGGUGGGGUAAAGGCUCACCUAGGCGACGAUCCCUAGCUGGUCUGAGAGGAUGACCAGCCACACUGGAACUGAGACACGGUCCAGACUCCUACGGGAGGCAGCAGUGGGGAAUAUUGCACAAUGGGCGAAAGCCUGAUGCAGCCAUGCCGCGUGUGUGAAGAAGGCCUUCGGGUUGUAAAGCACUUUCAGUGGGGAGGCGUUACCCACAGAAGAAGCACCGGCUAACUCCGUGCCAGCAGCCGCGGUAAUAC